rnacentral:rRNA from 1 species
AUGGAAGAAGAAGUUGAUCAAACUGUGAGCUCAUUGGAUGAAAAAGAUGAGGAGGAGAGCGAAGAACAAAAGGAGGAAGAACGGAUUGAGCACCCGUGCCCACCUUCUAAUGAGAGUAACUCUUCAACUCAUACAUUGUUUAAUUUCCCUUCGUGCUUAUUGAAGGAUGAAUGCUAUGAUAAUUGCUAUGAUCCCGUUGAUUCUUUUGAAAUAUCCCAUUUUGAUGAUGCUUGCUAUGCUUGUGGCCAAGAUGCCAAUAUGAAUUAUGCUUAUGAAGAUGAACUUGCUAUAGUUCCACAUGUUAAACAUGAAAUUGUUGCUAUUGAACCCAUGCAUGAUAGUCCUAUUAUCUUUUUGAAUUCUCCCGACUAA